rnacentral:rRNA from 1 species
GUCUUAUAGAUAUUUAUUUUAAGUCGGUCCUGCCCACUGAUAUUUUUAAUGGCCGCGGUAUUUUGACCGUGCAAAGGUAGCAUAAUCAUUUGUCUCUUAAUUGGAGGCUGGUAUGAAUGGUUUGACGAGAAUAAAACUUUAUUAAUAUAAUUUUUUGAAUUUAAUCUUUAAGUUAAAAAGCUUAAAUUUAUUUAAGGGACGAGAAGACCCUAUAGAACUUUAUUAUUUAUUUUUAUUUGAAUUUUUGGAUUAUAGUUUUUAUUUGAAUCUACAUAAUUUGAUUGGGGCGAUUUUGAGGAAUUUUUAACCCUCAAAUUUUAAAAUUAUAUAUAAAUAUUUUUUUGAUCCAUUUUUUAUGAUUAAUAGUUUAAGUUACCUUAGGGAUAACAGCGUUAUUUACUUGGAGAGUUCUUAUCGAUAAGUGAGAUUGCGA